rnacentral:rRNA from 1 species
UACGGAGGGUGCAAGCAUUAAUCGGAUUUAUUGGGCGUAAAGGGGGCGUAGGCGGAUGAGAAAGCAAGAUGUGAAAGCCCGGGGCUUAACCUCGGAACAGCAUUUUGAACUCCUUAUCUAGAGGGUAGGCGGAGAAAACGGAAUUCCACAUGUAGCGGUGAAAUGCGUAGAUAUGUGGAAGAACACCGGUGGUGAAGACGGUUUUCUAGCUUAUUCCUGACGCUAAGGCCCGAAAGCUAGGGGAGCAAACAGG